UGGAUCACCCAAUGAUUACCUGUUCAUUCCCUUUGAGGCACCGGCAUUAGCUACUGUUGGGAUACUGGGAUAGAUGGACCAUUGAUCUGAUUCUUAAUGGCUAUUCUUGUAUUCUUAUGUAGAGGAGCUAGUGCACAACCCUGGUGGUCCUGCCCUUUGUGGUUCCCCUUCCUUCUUCUCAGACCUGGAUAGACCCUUACUUGUCCUGUGGGAGGUAGGUAUCAUUAACUGGCACCUCUCCCUCCCUUGGGCUUGGGAAUAGAGAGGGUAAGAAAUUUAUGAAACGGUUCCAACGAAACUAAUCCAAUGCUUCAAGCUAAUGUGGAACAAGGGUGUUCACGUGUAGAGUUGAUCAGGAAUAACUAUUUUGGAAUAACUGCCCAUGUUGACUAGCCUUUAUUCCAGAAGUGUCCACAUGAGGAACUAUUCCAGAAUGGCUGUUGCAGAAUAGCUAUCCCAGGCAAAUUCCCCAUAUAGACAAGCCCUAAAUAAUUUCACUAAUAACUAGUGAAACAAAUUUGGAGUUGGUAGGCUAACUUAUUGUGGUUUAUCUGUGGCAAUUUCAAAAAAAUUGAAAUCUUUAAAUCCCAUUUCAAAGGUCAUGACUGAUUAACUUGAAAUUUCCAUCCAUAAACUCUGCUUCAGAAAUUUGGGAUAGAUAUGCUAUGACUGAAGUUGAGAUCAAAAGCGACUUACUUGCUUAAGUAUGGGGAGACUACAGUCAAUGGAAGCUUGGCAGUGGCUUCCAAUGAAGGAUUUCAAAGUGCUGUAUAAACACUAGUGAUAUGCCUCACAGUAUACCUAUAUGCCAGUCAAGUUACUGUUUUAGAAAACUUAAGUGGGGGACAAAGAAUUGCACUUCAUGCUGGAAGCAAGUUAUAUAACUAAAUAUUUUGUAUUGCACAUUUCACACGUCAACCAAAAAGAUGGGAGGCAGGUGUCUUUAUGGGUAUUGAAUUAGUGUUGUGUGCCCCUUAUCUGAAUUUUCAUAUUUCCAAAUGCUCUGAUUUCUUUAAAGUUUAACGUUAGUAGUGAAGAUCCUGGUUUGUAAAUGUGUUAAAAUAAAUUAAAAAAUGACAACAUUCUGGUCAGAAAUGUUACCCUAAAUCACGGAUAUGAACUUCCCCUUAAAAUUUGUGUCUCAGAGGAAGUGAACAGUUGUUCACAUUGUUCAUGUUGGAUGUUGUUCAUGUUGACUGGAUGUGUCAAACUUGAUACAUCAUAGUGGUCAAGAUUUUAAACGUUUUCCUAGAGACCAUUCUUCAAAGAAGCCAAUCUGGGGCCUGUUAAGAGGGUUGUGUGCACAUUCUGUUCAAUUUCAGGUUGUUUUAAUAUGAUUAUCUUCUAAAGGUUUGAGGGCUCAAAACCCUCAAGAAAUGUGGUUGCUUAUUCAAAUUAUGGAGGCUCUCCACAAAGGUCUUCCAAUUGCAACCAACUUCCCCUAAUAGGGUGCUUAUCUAUAAUUGUCUUCCAGGAAAGCAGUUCCAAUGAAUUGCUACCACUCUCAAAAAAACCUUACAAAACUAGGAAAGGGCUGUUUUAAGUCCAAACACUGCAAUCUCCUCUGUUUACAGGAGAUAGCAUGCAUCUUCAGAUAGAAGACUGGCAGAACGAUAUCCUGAUUACCAUGAAAUUGCAAGACCACCUUUGGCAGGAAAGAUGGGUGUGGCCACAGCAGUACCUUGUCCUUGAAGGAGACCAUACACGGUGAUUCUGAG